rnacentral:rRNA from 1 species
UAUAGAUCCAGACAACCUCGGGAAACUGAGGCUAAUCCGGAAUAGGGCUCUCAUCCUGGAGUGGAGAGAGCCUGAAACGCUCCGGCGCUAUAGGAUGUGGCUGCGGCCGAUUAGGUAGACGGUGGGGUAACGGCCCACCGUGCCAGUAAUCGGUACGGGUUGUGAGAGCAAGAGCCCGGAGACGGUAUCUGAGACAAGAUACCGGGCCCUACGGGGCGCAGCAGGCGCGAAACCUUUACACUGCACGCCAGUGCGAUAAGGGGACUCCAAGUGCGAGGGCAUAUAGUCCUCGCUUUUUGCGACCGUAAGGUGGUCGCGGAAUAAGUGCUGGGCAAGACCGGUGCCAGCCGCCGCGGUAAUACCGGCAGCACGAGUGAUGACCGCUGUUAUUGGGCCUAAAGCGUCCGUAGCUGGCCGCACAAGUCUAUCGGGAAAUCUCUCCGCUUAACGGAGAGGCGUCCGGUGGAAACUGUGUGGCUUGGGACCGGAAGACCAGAGGGGUACGUCUG